rnacentral:rRNA from 1 species
CUACGGGUCGCUGCAGUGAGGAAUUUUGCGCAAUGGGGGAAACCCUGACGCAGCAACGCCGCGUGAGUGAUGAAGGCCUUCGAGUCGUAAAGCUCUGUCAAGUGGGAAGAACCUACUAAGUGCCAAUACCACUUAGUACUGACGGUACCACUGAAGGAAGCACCGGCUAACUCCGUGCCAGCAGCCGCGGUAAUACGGGGGGUGCAAGCGUUACUCGGAAUUAUUGGGCGUAAAGGGCGCGCAGGCGGCCAGGUAAGUCAGAUGUGAAAGCCCGGGGCUCAACCCCGGAAGUGCAUUUGAACUGCUUAGCUUGAGUAUGGGAGAGGGAAGUGGAAUUCCUGGUGUAGAGGUGAAAUUCGUAGAUAUCAGGAGGAACACCGGUGGCGAAGGCGACUUCCUGGACCAAUACUGACGCUGAGGCGCGAAGGCGUGGGUAGCAAACAGGAUUAGAUACCCGGGUAGUC